rnacentral:rRNA from 1 species
UACGUAGGGUGCUAGCGUUGUCCGGAAUCAUUGGGCGUAAAGCGCGUGUAGGCGGUCCGGUAAGUCCGCUGUGAAAGCCAGGGGCUCAACCCUUGGAUGCCGGUGGAUACUGUCGGGCUUGAGUACGGAAGAGGCGAGUGGAAUUCCUGGUGUAGCGGUGAAAUGCGCAGAUAUCAGGAGGAACACCGGUGGCGAAAGCGGCUCCCUGGCCCGAUACUGACGCUCAUGUACGAAAGCGUGGGGAGCAAACAGG